AGCCGGAGGGAAACCGAGUCUUAAUUGGGCGUUAAGUUGCAGGGUAUAGACCCGAAACCCGGUGAUCUAGCCAUGGGCAGGUUGAAGGUUGGGUAACACUAACUGGAGGACCGAACCGACUAAUGUUGAAAAAUUAGCGGAUGACCUGUGGCUGGGGGUGAAAGGCCAAUCAAACCGGGAGAUAGCUGGUUCUCCCCGAAAGCUAUUUAGGUAGCGCCUCGUGAAUUCAUCUCCGGGGGUAGAGCACUGUUUCGGCCAGGGGGCCAUCCCGGCUUACCAAUCCGAUGCAAACUGCGAAUACCGGAGAAUGUUAUCACGGGAGACACACGGCGGGUGCUAACGUCCGUCGUGAAGAGGGAAACAACCCAGACCGCCAGCUAAGGUCCCAAAGUCAUGGUUAAGUGGGAAACGAUGUGGGAAGGCCCAGACAGCCAGGAUGUUGGCUUAGAAGCAGCCAUCAUUUAAAGAAAGCGUAAUAGCUCACUGGUCGAGUCGGCCUGCGCGGAAGAUGUAACGGGGCUAAACCAU
rnacentral:rRNA from 1 species